rnacentral:rRNA from 1 species
UACGAAGGGGGCUAGCGUUGCUCAGAAUGACUGGGCGUAAAGGGCGCGUAGGCGGAUUGUACAGUCAGGCGUGAAAUUCCCGGGCUCAACCUGGGGGCUGCGUUUGAUACGUGCGGGCUUGAGUUCGGAAGAGGGUCGUGGAAUUCCCAGUGUAGAGGUGAAAUUCGUAGAUAUUGGGAAGAACACCGGUGGCGAAGGCGGCUACCUGGACCAGCACUGACACUGAAGCACGAAAGCGUGGGGAGCAAACAGG